rnacentral:rRNA from 1 species
GUGCAGCAGUCGAGAAAACCUUCGCAAUGCAGGAAACUGCGACGAGGGAACUCCAAGUGCCUACGGCUCAGCGUAGGCUGUUCUCAAGCCUAGAAAGCUUGAGGAGUAAGGGCUGGGUAAGACGGGUGCCAUCUGUGGUAGCAGUCAAUAGAUUCGAUUUGUUACUGCAAGGCAUAAGCCGCCGCGGUAAUACCCGCAGCCCAAGUGUGGCCGCUUUAUUGGGCCUAAAGCGUCCGUAGCCGGCCCCGGUAAAUGCCUGGGGUAAAUCCGUGGAGCCCAACUUCAC